UACGUAGGUCCCGAGCGUUGUCCGGAUUUAUUGGGCGUAAAGCGAGCGCAGGUGGUUUAUUAAGUCUGAUGUAAAAGGCAGUGGCUCAACCAUUGUAUGCAUUGGAAACUGGUAGACUUGAGUGCAGGAGAGGAGAGUGAAAUUCCAUGUGUAGCGGUGAAAUGCGUAGAUAUAUGGAGGAACACCGGUGGCGAAAGCGGCUCUCUGGCCUGUAACUGACACUGAGGCUCGAAAGCGUGGGGAGCAAACAGG
rnacentral:rRNA from 1 species